rnacentral:rRNA from 1 species
GGAUGUGGGAGUGCACAGACAACCAGGAUGUUGGCUUAGAAGCAGCCACUCAUUCAAAGAGUGCGUAAUAGCUCACUGGUCGAGUGAUCCUGCGCCGAAGAUUUCCGGGGCUAAAACUUACUACCGAAGCUACGGCAUCAGUAAUGAUGGGUAGGGGGGCUUCCCAUACGGGUUGAAGCAUGACCGUAAGGACAUGUGGACAGUAUGGGAGUGAGAAUGUUGGCAUGAGUAGCGAGAUGUGGGUGAGAAUCCCACAGGCCGUAAACCCAAGGUUUCCAGGGGAAGGUUCGUCCGCCC